AGGACGAACGCUGGCGGCGCGCUUAAUACAUGCAAGUCGAGCGAGAACCAGGGCUUCGGCUCUGGGGACAGCGGCGAACGGGUGAGUAACACGUGGGUAAUCAACCCCCGACACCGGGAUAGCCCAGGGAAACUUGGAUUAAUACCGGAUGCUCCGUCUGGCUUUAGGGCCGGCCGGAAAAGGGUAGCUUCGGCCUCCGGUCGGGGACGAGCCCGCGGCGGAUUAGCUUGUUGGUGAGGUAAAGGCUCACCAAGGCGACAAUCCGUAGCUGGUCUGAGAGGACGAUCAGCCACACUGGGACUGAGACACGGCCCAGACUCCUACGGGAGGCAGCAGUAGGGAAUCUUGCGCAAUGGGCGAAAGCCUGACGCAGCGACGCCGCGUGAGGGAAGAAGGCCUUCGGGUUGUAAACCUCUUUCAGGAGGGACGAAGCCACUCGGGUUAAUAGCCUAGAGGGUGACGGUACCUCCAGAAGAAGCCCCGGCUAACUACGUGCCAGCAGCCGCGGU
rnacentral:rRNA from 1 species